rnacentral:lncRNA from 1 species
GGUUUGGUGGUAUCCUAGUCUUUUUCUCUUAAAAUUUGGCCUUUGGUAUAUAUUUUGUCAUAAGCAUAUAGUAUUUUCAAAAGCACAAAAUAAUAAUUAAAAAGAAAAUAUCUGCAGUAAAGAGAAAAAAAAAAAAAAAACCACGGCCUCCGAAAAAGACUUUUGAAGAAAUUAAAACUGAGUCAAGGAAAAAAAAAAUCAAAACUGAUUCAUCAUAAAUAAAAAAAUUAAAACUGAGUCAAGAAAUAAGACCUAUGGAAAAAGUGAACAAAAAUACCGGGGUGAACGUGCUAUUUCCCCACGAUAACUAUUAUAUAGCAUCAGAUGUCCACCAAACUAUGACCUCGUACUAAAUGUCCAUCAAUUGUAUAUUAAAAACGUAUUUCUC